rnacentral:misc_RNA from 1 species
GAUGAAGAACGUAGCGAAAUGCGAUACGUAAUGUGAAUUGCAGAAUUCAGUGAAUCAGCGAAUCUUUGAACGCAUAUUGCGCUCUCUGGUAUUCCGGAGAGCAUGCUGGUUUGAGUAUCAGUAAACACCUCAACUUCCAUAUCUUUUUUGAAAUGGGAGUUGGACUUGAGUGAUCCCAACGCUUUUCCUCACCGAAAAGUGGCGGGUUACUUGAAAUGCAGGUGCAGCUGGACUUUUCUCUGAGCUAUAAGCAUAUCUAUUUAGUCUGCCUAAAAAACAGAUUAUUACCUUUGCUGCAGCUAACAUAAAGGAGAUUAGUUCUUGUGCUGACUGAUGCAGGAUUCACAAAGACGGCUUCGGCCGACUUUGUAAACUCGAUCUCAAAUCAAGUAAGACUACCCGCUGAACUUAAGCAUAUCAAUAAGCGGAGGA